rnacentral:sRNA from 1 species
CUGCGUGCAGCCUGGAAGGAUGAGCCAGGCCAGGCGGGAAACGGAAGUCCAGGUAGAAGGGAGGAGCCGAAUUGGGGUACACUCCAUAUGGGCUCAGGCAGGUCAGCCUGUGGAAUGAAUAGAGGCCAACAUGCAGGCCAGCCCGGAAUGCGGCAGGAGUGACAAUGGCUUUCCGUUUCUGGGAAUUCUGCCAGUACCUACAGUGGUGCCUUUUGACUUGGCUUACCUUUUUUCUCGACAUGCAGGCAGCGUCUAUCCCAGACUACCGGGGCCCUAAUGGAGUGUGGACACUGCUUCAGAAAGGGAGAAGCGUUAGUGCUGCCGACCUGAGCGAGGCCGAGCCAACCCUCACCCACAUGAGCAUCACCCGUCUGCAUGAGCAGAAGCUGGUAAGAGCCCUGGGUGGCUGGUUCACUUGCCAGGGACCAGGCAGAGCACCUUGGUGCCCAGUGGGCAACUAACUGCACCCUCCCUCUGUCUGCCAGUUGACUCCCAUGAUGAGCACCCACCAAGCGGGUUAGGCCCCGGGUUUGAUCCUCCUGUGCUUGACUCUCUAGGACAGAAGGGGAGCUCCCCCUCUGAACCAUCCCAUCCGCAGCCAGCCUCAGCCUCAGAGCUGCUGGUGGCCUUUCCCCUUUGUGAUUCCCUUGCAUUUUUCUGUGGACCUCAGAAGCCAUCCUAGUCACAGGGGAGGCUUAUAGGACAUCUCUGGGGACCUUCUGCUGAACACCCUCAACCAAUGGGGUGUAGCGGUUGAUCUGCCUAGGUCCCCAGGGACCUGAAAUGUCAUGACCCAAGAGAGCAUGGAUCUGGGGCAGAGUGGCCCUUGCCAAACCCCGAGCCACUUCCCAACCUUGCCGGGA